ACCCGCUGAACUUAAGCAUAUCAAUAAGCGGAGGAAAAGAAACCAACAGGGAUUGCCCUAGUAACGGCGAGUGAAGCGGCAACAGCUCAAAUUUGAAAUCUGCCUUCGGGCCGAGUUGUAAUUUGUAGAGGAAGCUUUUGGUGAGGCACCUUCUGAGUCCCCUGGAACGGGGCGCCAUAGAGGGUGAGAGCCCCGUAUAGUCGGAUGCCGAUCCAAUGUAAAGCUCCUUCGACGAGUCGAGUAGUUUGGGAAUGCUGCUCAAAAUGGGAGGUAAAUUUCUUCUAAAGCUAAAUACCGGCCAGAGACCGAUAGCGCACAAGUAGAGUGAUCGAAAGAUGAAAAGCACCUUGAAAAGGGGGUUAAAUAGCACGUGAAAUUGUUGAAAGGGAAGCGUUUGUGACCAGACUUGCGCCGCCCCGAUCAUCCGGUGUUCUCACCGGUGCACUCGGAGCGGCGCAGGCCAGCAUCGGUUUCGGCGGGGGGACAAAGGUCCGGGGAACGUAGCUCCUUCGGGAGUGUUAUAGCCCCGGGCGUAAUGCCCUCGCCGGGAUCGAGGUUCGCGCAUCUGCAAGGAUGCUGGCGUAAUGGUCACCAACGACCCGUCUUGAAACACGG
rnacentral:rRNA from 1 species